UUCGCCAAAACAUUCUUCCUUUCCCCGCGCGCCCAACACCGCCGAACCCAAGCCCUAACCGGUGCCGCGGCAGUUCCUGCUCCCGAUCCUUUUCUCUCCUUUUUCUUCUUCUCCUCUCCUUCCUCCCCGGAGCCUGCCCAAGCGCCGGCGAGUGCGAGCCACUGCUGGUCAAGUCGUCGGCUGUGCCCUAGUUUCCUUGUCGACGGUGCCGACGCCCACAGAAGUUUCCUCUCCUCUGCCGACAGCCGCCCUCACGGAGUGAUCCCGACGCCGCCGUCUUGCACCGAGCAUCAGUGUCGCUGGCUACUCCUCCGAGGAGUGCCCUAGGUGCCGACGCCGCACCUCUCUUCCUCUUAUCCUUUCGGCAUCCGAGCCCUAGCACCGCCGCCGACCCAACUCCUCUCAUCUUGCUGCCGACCAAAGCCCUGAGCAGUGCCGAUCAAGCCAACUCUCCUUUCCUCUUCCCUAGCGACAGCAGACGGCCGCCCCUCUCUGCCGACCUCACGCCUCGGCACUGGUUGCUGACCACCAGGUGCUGCGUGCCACAGAUGGGCCUAGUAGUGCCCUAGUCCUCCACCGCCGCAGCCACCUAGCCUCACUGUGUCGCCUCUCCUCUGCCUCUGCCGGUUUCCUGAUCAUUCCCCCUGGCUGACGCGUGAGCACGGGGUCGUUUAGCAGUGAUCUUGGAGGAAGAAGAUUUAGGUAAGCAUCGUUUGAUCUCCGGCAACAGGUAGAUUCCAGCAGCAAACGACCCUACUUCAAACAGUGAUUCAUCAGGUUGAUGCUGUCAGGAGAGAGUUCCAGUUGCUGGUCCCCUGCAGACCAUGAGGAUUUAUU